CCUACGGGCGGCAGCAGUGGGGAAUAUUGCACAAUGGGGGAAACCCUGAUGCAGCAACGCCGCGUGAGUGAAGAAGUAUUUCGGUAUGUAAAGCUCUAUCAGCAGGGAAGAAGAAAGACGGUACCUGACUAAGAAGCCCCGGCUAACUACGUGCCAGCAGCCGCGGUAAUACGGAGGGGGCAAGCGUUAUCCGGAUUUACUGGGUGUAAAGGGAGCGUAGACGGCUGUGCAAGUCUGAAGUGAAAGCCCGGGGCUCAACCGCGGAACUGCUGUGGAAACUGUAUAGCUAGAGUACUGGAGAGGCAGGCGGAAUUCGUGGUGUAGCGGUGAAAUGCGUAGAUAUUAGGAGGAACACCAGUGGCGAAGGCGGCCUGCUGGACAGAAACUGACGUUGAGGCUCGAAAGCGUGGGGAGCAAACAGGAUUAGAUACCCCUGUAGUC
rnacentral:rRNA from 1 species